rnacentral:tRNA from 1 species
UGAGGUGUAGUUAAGUGGUAGAGUGCAUACCUAGCAUGUGUGGGGCUUGGGGUUCAAUCCCCAGCACCACAA